rnacentral:rRNA from 1 species
GACGAACGCUGGCGGCGUGCUUAACACAUGCAAGUCGAACGGAAAGGCCCUGCUUGCAGGGUACUCGAGUGGCGAACGGGUGAGUAACACGUGGGUGUUCUGCCCUGCACUUCUGGAUAUGCCUGGGAAACUGGGUCUAAUACCGGAUAUGAGCCAUCUUGCGUGAGAUGGUUGGAAAGUUUUUUCGGUGUAGGGUGAGCUCGCGGCCUAUCAGCUUGUUGGUGGGGUAAUGGCCUACCAAGGCGGCGACGGGUAGCCGGCCUGGGAGGGUGGACGGCCACAUUGGGAAUGAGAUACGGCCCAGACUCCUACGGGAGGCAGCAGGGGGGAAUAUUGCACAAUGGGCGGAAGCCUGAUGCAGCGACGCCGCGUGGGGGAUGACGGCCUUCGGGUUGGAAACUCCUUUCGCUAGGGACGAAGCUUUUUGUGACGGUACCUAGAUAAGAAGCACCGGCUAACUACGUG